AACGAACGCUGGCGGCAUGCCUAACACAUGCAAGUCGAACGAGAUCUUCGGGUCUAGUGGCGCACGGGUGCGUAACGCGUGGGAAUCUGCCCUUUGGUUCGGAAUAACAGUUGGAAUCGACUGCUAAUACCGGAUGAUGACGAAAGUCCAAAGAUUUAUCGCCAGAGGAUGAGCCCGCGUAGGAUUAGCUAGUUGGUGUGGUAAAGGCGCACCAAGGCGACGAUCCUUAGCUGGUCUGAGAGGAUGAUCAGCCACACUGGGACUGAGACACGGCCCAGACUCCUACGGGAGGCAGCAGUGGGGAAUAUUGGACAAUGGGCGAAAGCCUGAUCCAGCAAUGCCGCGUGAGUGAUGAAGGCCUUAGGGUUGUAAAGCUCUUUUACCCGGGAUGAUAAUGACAGUACCGGGAAAAUAAGCUCCGGCUAACUCCGUGCCAGCAGCCGCAGUAA
rnacentral:rRNA from 1 species